rnacentral:rRNA from 1 species
CCUACGGGAGGCAGCAGUGGGGAAUAUUGGGCAAUGGGCGCAAGCCUGACCCAGCAACGCCGCGUGAAGGAAGAAGGCUUUCGGGUUGUAAACUUCUUUUGACAGGGAAGAGUAGAAGACGGUACCUGUCGAAUAAGCCACGGCUAACUACGUGCCAGCAGCCGCGGUAAGACGGAGGUGGCAAGCGUUGUCCGGAUUUACGGGGGGUAAAGGGCGUGUAGCCGGGUUGACAAGUCAGAUGUGAAAUCCUGCGGCUUAACCGCAGAACUGCAUUUGAAACUGUUGAUCUUGAGUACUGGAGAGGCAGACGGAAUGCGUGGUGUAGCGGUGAAAUGCGUAGAUAUUAGGAGGAACACCAGUGGCGAAGGCGGUCUGCUGGACAGCAACUGACGGUGAGGCGCGAAAGCGUGGGGAGCAAACAGGAUUAGAUACCCCGGUAGUC